CUUUGGUUGGGUCGGUUUUAUUUUUAUUUUCGUUUUUACUUAUUCCUUUUGUCUGUGUGUGUGUGUGUGUGUGUGCGGUGAUGGCGGUGCUCCUCAAGGAAAGAAUAACAAACGGCGGGAUGCGCACAGCGGGCAGGAACCGAGGGGCUGCGCCGAGUCUGCUCGAGCACAGCCCAGACCGAGCCGGUAGCGGGAGGCUGCGGAGGGCCGGGGCGGCUCGGCGGGGCUCUGCCGGAGGGGCUGCCGGCGGCACCGACCCCCUCGGGGAAGGCGGAGAGAGGGGGAGAGGGCAGCGGGAUUCGGGCAGCCGCUGGGGCCGCGGCCGGACGGAGGGCAGCCCCGGAGCGGCUGCUGGGCGGCGCGGCGCCCGCUCAUCCUCCACCCGCAGCCGCCAUCCAGCGAGCCGCGGCGGCGGUACCGAGCGGUUAUAAGUACCAUUCUGACACCAGUCUUCUGAGAUGGGAAAGACCAAUGAUGAAAAGACCAGUGAUGUUUCUCCACUCCUUUCAGAAGAUAUUGAGUACGAGGCCUUUCCUCCACCUGCUGCUAUCUCAUCUGUGAUCCUCCUGGCACUACCUCUAAGAACAGCUACAAAAUCCUAGCCUUACCAGCAGGUAAAAUAAAACAAUACCCCAAUCAGGAAAGUUUCUUAUAGUGCCUUCGCAUUUUCAGAAGGUAGAUGCUAGCUGAAUUCCCCUUUCCACAGUGAAAAUUUAUUUACCUAGAAACAGGCUUUUCAGUAUCGUGAACAGUGAAAGUUCGUGUCAAUUUUACUUAGUUUCAAGUCAAAAGAUAGGACUGAAAAGUAGAACUCAUCAAAGGCAACAAGUUAUGUCUGUGUCGGUAAGGCACUAUGCCAGAUGAAAGAAAAAGUGCCAAUAUGUUUUUUGUGUUGCAUAUGUUAGUCAUAUCAUAGAAGAAAGCAGAAAUAUGUCUAUGUCAAUGUUUUGCAGCCCAUCUGGAACAUCAUCUUUGACUUUUAUGAUGUGAGAAGAAGUUGAAAUUAGCAAGAUACGCUGCAUGGAUAAAGCACGAUGAGCCAAAGUAUGCAGUAUUUAGAGCAUGAUCAAGGAACAGUAGAAGAAAGGAUUCAGCCUGAAAAGUCACAUAUAUACAAAGGCUGCAUCCUGCAGGAGGUACUUAAGAAUGGAAAAAGGUUAACAGAGUAAACGUGGGUGUGACACCACCAGCAGUUAGCUGGCUAGCAAUGGAAUCUAUCGGUGCUGCUCCAAAAGUCACCAGUGUUUGUGUCAAUAAGGUAUGAGAAAUUGUGUUUGUGUCAAUAAGGUAUGAGAAAUUGUGUUUGUGUCAAUAAGGUAUGAGAAAUUGUAGGGUACAUGUGAAGCUGAAACUCCUGCUUCUCAUAGAAUCAAAGAAUCAUUAAGGUUGAAAAAUACUUCUAAGAUCACCAAGUCAACCCCCCUAUCCCCACCGUGCCCACUGGCCAUGUCACUGUGCCACACCUCCACCAUCACCUCCAGGGAUGGUGACCCCCCAGCUCCCUGAGCAGCCUGUACCAGUGCAUCACUGCUCCUUCUGAGAAGAACUUGUUUGUAAUAUCCAAGCUGAGGAUGCUCAAGGAGGGGAUCCUGCAGUGCUAGAAAAAGAAACAUGGGCUAGUAAGGGACAGCUCCAGAGAUAUAUAAUUGUAUUUAUAUGACUGUCUGUGCAUACUGGAAAUUUCUUUGGACUAAUCAUGAAUGAGUUUUAGAAAUUUAUAUAUUUGACAGCUAAUGAAUACCUAGUAAUGUGGUUUGUACAUUGUUUUACUGAUAUUAAUCUCGAAUGCAUAGCUCUGUGAUUGCCAUUUAAUUUUUUAAUAACAAAAAAAAAGACAGUAAACAACUUGGAUGCCAAUCUGAGCUGAGCUAUGUGAGCAGGGUAGUUUAUUUUCUCAUUGCAUUCUAUGGCUUCCGUAUCAAGUAUGGCUGGCAUGGGCACCAGUUAUAUUUGGUAGUGCUCCAGGAAGCCCUGUGAGGGAUUAUUUACUCUACUCCUUGGCACAUCUGUUUUUAUAAUACGACCAUAAGUUCUGUCACCGAUUUCAUUUCUGCAGUGUGAAGUGGUGAUGACAGGCAGAUCUCCAGUUCCCUGCAGUUUUGUAGUUAGCGGAAUUUACCACUGAACUACUGCAUGUUGAGGAAAAAUAUUCCAGAAUCCACACACUGAUUAUAUACGAGUUAUUUCUAUUUGUAAAAGUAAACUCUUCAUAGUGCUAGUAGUGAACCUGAUGAUAAAAUAAUGCUUGCAGAAAGACUGCAGAGCUGUUCUCUUUUUAGACUGCCAGGAUGAAAGCUUGUAAAAAAAGUUUUGUCACCCUCUUGUAGAUGCUGUGUGCAACUAUCCCUACAACGCACUCUCCAGCACUGCCCAUUGCAGAUCCGAGUGGAUUUCUGGGUGAUGGCAGGAAGGGAAAGGGACUGGCUUGUUUGUGAAAUAGAGUUCUAAAAGCCAUUUUCCUUUCUCCAGGUGUAGGAUGGGAGCUUGAGAGGACUUUCCAUAUUACAGGAGCAUCCCCAUUCUUUCUGUUAGGAUGUACACCUCAAAAUAAUUAAUAAUUUAAUAACAUAUUUGUAAUGUUUAUGUUGCUUCACACUACUGCACCAGCAAAAGCAGUCCAGUCCUGCCAAACUACCAAAGCCUUCGGCCUCAACCUAGUUAACCUGAUGAGGAAUUAGUGACAAAGCAAAUUAGUCAUGGACACAAGUACAACACUGAUAUCCAGCUAUAUUAUGGGACAAAUGGGAAUUUCAGUGCUAACACACUUAUAUAAGAUGAAUUCCUGAGCUCCUGUCAUACAGAAACUGUCCCAGACAGGCUGUGCCUCUGGCUGUGUGUCUUCACAGGAGCAGCUGAGCUGAUGGCCAUGACAGACCCCACUGUUUGUCAAGAGGAGAGCAUUAGUGUAAAGAUGAAUAACUGCAUUACCUGAAGCACGUGAUCCUACUCUCUGCAGACACAACUGACAGUGUUCCCAAAUACUUUUGCCCAAUGCUCUGUGGAUAUUUGCAGACUCCUACAAAAGCAGCAGCCUGCAUGAAUCAUGCUCUGUGCAGCUUCACUGAGGCAAGAAUAAAUCAACUAAAUCUAAACCCACAAGCUUUUAAAUUCAUAUUGAUUUUACCCCAGUUCAUAUUUUGAUACUGUGUCCUGCAGGUUUUCUCUGACCUGGAUGCAGUUUCACUCUUGUUCGUUCUUGUUCAUUUCUCAGUUUUCACAGCAGACGACAUUCUAUUUGAUCUUUUCGCACUUGCACUUUAGAGAUGUGUGAAGGACAGCUGACACUAAUGCUUGACUGAUCUCGACCAUGUUCUGCACUGAUCUGCCAAAAAACUGCAACCUCCACCUGAUCCAGAAUUACCUGAGGCUACACAAAACUAUUAUGAUCCAGGGGGCAUAACCCUCUAUAAAUACAAAUGUGAGAAACUAGAAAAGUUUUAAGUACCUUAAGGCAAUCGCAGACUUAGACUUGUGAUUUGAUAAAAAAUGGGCACUGUCUUCCAUGGUGAUACACAAUUUCUGGUCUGUAGUGCUUGGGUAUAGUGUAUGUGUAUAUGUCUAUAUAUAUAUAUAUAGACGGGUAUAUAUAUAUUAUUACUUGGGUAGGUGCUCAGUGCAAAUAGAACAACAGCAAAAAAUAAUGUCAGAAAUUCUGGUUUCUUUUUUAUUUUUUUCCUUCAUACUUUGGAUCCUUGGACCAAUAAUUGGAUAUAUGAUAAAUUAGAACUCCUUGACAUCUUGGGCUAAUCCCUAAAACCCCAGCUAACAGUUUUACACUGAGUAUCUUUAGCCCCUAUUUUUCAGAACAGGGAGAAUGAGAGCAUUUGUUUGAGGGCAAAAGGGGACAUUAUUUAGAGCUGUUCAGGAGACAUCUAGAGUGGUGUGCUUCGGAAAUGCUGCAUGGAGAGUGGCUUCUGGGAAGAGGUCUGUCUGCUCUGAAUUGCUGCAGCAUGGCAAUUGCUGUAAUUGGGAGAAUUAAGCUGAGCUCCCUCUCUAUGGUCUCAGUGGACAUAUCUUCGGUUUCCUUUGGUAAGUGUGUUCUAUGGCAAUUUAAAGUGAAGAAAAAAAAAACAAAGUGCAUAAGGAGGGCGAAUUUAAUUGCUUCUGUUGUUUUUGUGAGAAUAGAAGCUCUUCAGAGUCCCUUUAGUUAUUUAGUUACCUAAAUAGGUACUAUUUAUGAAUGCUGAGCUUUAUUUCUAAUUGGAGCCACUGAUAAUGAAGUUAUUUUAUUUAUUGCUGCAUUGACAUACUAUUUCAUAUUUUACUACAGGUUAACAGAUUCAGUUUGUUUUAGUCAUUAACAGAUAAAAAGUGGAAACUCUGAAUCCUCAUAGAAGAACAUUUUCUUAUCUUUUUAAAAAGACUUUACAUGAGGAAGGCAAUUGUAAGGUUAAUUUAUACUAUCAAGAGUUUUUAUGGUGUAAAUAAUGUAUGUGAUUAUGUUCUUUCACCCUAGCAAGACACAAGCAAAAGAAAGACAUCUUUCACCCUUGAAUGACACAAGCAGGAUCUAAGCAGUUUUUUCUCUUCCUAUGCAUGUGAUAUGGGUCCUUCAAUACCUCCUACCCAUGUGAGACACUUCCUCUUUGCUCCAGCCUAUUUCUUCCCUUCUAGCCCACAGGAUGCAAUAGUAGGACACACAUCUAGGGAGAAUUGUUUCUAGCUUAGGCUAAUGGCAAAUACAUGUUACUCAGUUCUGUGGGUUGUGCAUGCAUUUAAAUUUGUUGAUCUUCUUUCCCUUUUUCUUUUCAGAUUAAAACAAAUACUACUAGUCUUUUUUCCUUUUCUUUUUUGUUUUUUGUUUGUUUGUUUGUUUUGUUUUGUUUUGUUUUUAAAUGUUUUUUCUUUCUUUUUCCCCCUCACAGUUGUCUCCUGGUGUCCCCAGUGUGAAUUGCAUACAUCAUUACACCGCAGUUAGAGACGUGCUAUAGAUCAUCUGUUCUUCAUUUAUGAAUGAUUAGCCAUUCUCUUUUUGAAACACUGCUGGGAAGCAGUCUUUGAUCCUGAUUGCCUUUGGCUAGACCUCCAGACGUUGGCUUAGAUAGAAAUUUUGAUCCUAGACUAAAAAUGAACAAGUGUUAGAAACAAAUGUGCUUUUAUCCAUAGAAAGGAUAUAGGGUCAAACUUUACUCUGGGCUCUCAACACAACUCA